CCACGUCACGUGACACGCCCAGCUCCCGGUGCGGUGGCUGACGGGAGGUGGAGAGAGAACGAGGCUGUCGGCCAUUUUGUGUCUGUUUCCUGCGGGACGCGGUGGUGGCGGUUGGUUCCGAGAAGUCGGCGAUUUUCUUCUGGUUUUUUUUCCCUCCCCCCCCUCAGCUUCUUCUCGCCUCCUUCCUACCUGUUCUGUAGAGCGCAGCGAUGGGUCGCAAGAAGAAGAAGCAGUUGAAGCCGUGGUGCUGGUAUUGUAACAGAGAUUUUGAUGAUGAGAAGAUCCUUAUACAGCACCAAAAAGCAAAGCAUUUUAAAUGUCAUAUAUGCCAUAAGAAAUUAUACACAGGACCUGGAUUAGCUAUUCAUUGCAUGCAGGUGCAUAAAGAAACCAUAGAUGCUGUACCAAAUGCAAUACCCGGGAGAACAGAUAUAGAGUUGGAAAUAUACGGCAUGGAAGGUAUUCCAGAGAAAGAUAUGGAUGAAAGACGGCGACUUCUUGAACAGAAAACACAGGAGAGUCAAAAAAAAAAGCAACAAGAUGAUUCUGAUGAAUAUGAUGAUGACGAAUCUGCAGCCUCAACUUCAUUUCAGCCGCAGCCUGUUCAACCUCAGCAAGGUUAUAUCCCACCGAUGGCCCAGCCAGGACUUCCACCAGUUCCAGGGGCACCAGGAAUGCCUCCAGGCAUACCUCCAUUGAUGCCAGGUGUUCCUCCCCUGAUGCCAGGCAUGCCUCCAGUUAUGCCAGGCAUGCCACCUGGAUUGCAUCAUCAGAGAAAAUACACCCAGUCAUUUUGCGGUGAAAACAUAAUGAUGCCAAUGGGUGGAAUGAUGCCACCUGGACCUGGAAUUCCACCUCUGAUGCCUGGUAUGCCACCAGGUAUGCCCCCUCCUGUUCCACGUCCUGGAAUUCCUCCAAUGACUCAAGCACAGGCUGUUUCAGCACCAGGUAUUCUUAAUAGACCACCUGCACCAACAGCAGCAGUACCUGCUCCACAGCCUCCAGUAACUAAGCCUCUUUUCCCCAGUGCAGGACAGAUGGGGACACCUGUAACAAGCUCAAGUACAGCUUCAUCCAAUUCAGAAAGUCUGUCUGCAUCUUCUAAAGCUCUGUUUCCUAGCACAGCACAAGCUCAGGCAGCUGUCCAAGGACCUGUUGGUACAGAUUUUAAGCCCUUAAACAGUACUCCUGCUACAACUACAGAACCCCCAAAGCCUACAUUCCCAGCUUAUACACAGUCAACAGCUUCAACCACUAGUACAACAAACAGUACUGCAGCAAAACCAGCAGCUUCAAUUACAAGUAAGCCUGCUACACUUACAACCACCAGUGCAACCAGUAAGUUGAUCCACCCAGAUGAGGAUAUAUCACUGGAAGAAAGAAGGGCACAGUUACCUAAAUAUCAGCGUAAUCUUCCGCGACCAGGACAGACUCCAAUUGGUAAUCCACCAGUUGGACCAAUUGGGGGUAUGAUGCCACCGCAGCCAGGCAUCCCACAGCAGCAAGGAAUGCGCCCUCCAAUGCCACCUCAUGGUCAGUAUGGUGGUCAUCAUCAAGGCAUGCCAGGUUACCUCCCUGGCGCUAUGCCACCUUAUGGACAGGGACCACCAAUGGUGCCCCCUUACCAAGGUGGGCCUCCUCGACCUCCAAUGGGAAUGAGACCUCCUGUUAUGUCGCAAGGUGGCCGUUACUGAUCUUACUUCACCAAGUCUAAUAGGUUUUUAGAAGUGAAGUAUAGUAAAUUUGGUUCGUUAAAUUGUGAAGGCGCUGGAAUUACAUGAACAUACCAUCUUAAAUAAAGCCCUGCCAUAGGACAGGCUGAGGCUGAGUCUCAGUGUUGCCCUGUUCAGUCUGAGGCAAGUGGGAUUUAUUUUAUUACUUACAGGGGCUUUCACAGCUUUAUGGCUGUUGGAUAUUUAUGUCCCCAAACUUGCAGCAAGUUUGGUGAAGGCCCCUAAAUUUAAUUAAAUUUAGGAUUUUUAUAUUCCUUUGGCAGAGAAGGCUCUAUAUUAAUAUUCACGUUUGACUGUGGUGUUACUAAGCAUAAAUAAGUAUUACAUAAUAUCUAAAGCUUUAUUCCCCUUCAUAAAUUGAUUUGGAGGCAUGAUAUGUUUAAUUCAAAUUUUUACUUUGACCAAUAGGAAAAUGCUGGUGGUUUUCUAUUCAAACUUAAAUUUAACCUCAAGGAUACGCUUAAUUAUUUGAAAUGCCACAGGAUAUUGAUGUUUGUUUUAAAUCCCAAGCUUAUAUUGAUCAUCAGGGUGGUAAGGUCAUGUGGAAAUGCUUAUGAUCUUUUCUCAAAUCUCACCACACUAGAGCAAAUGUUAAUGUAGAGCCCUGUAAUGAGUGGGAAGGUGAUUGGUCUGUGUUUGUGUGCUAUGUACGGGUGUAGACUGCAGGUCUGGUAUAAUAAAAGGGUUUGGGGGUUUCAUGUCUCAGUGGAUAGAUAACUAAUUUUCCGGUAGGCAAAUUGAAAUUGGAUCAUGUGAUGAGUAUUAAAUGGGUUUGGAAUUUUUUUUUUUUUUUUGUGGAAGUUGUCAGCUUUUACUGAACAGUGCUUUAUGUAAUAUGCACACACCAGUAGUAUAUCCACAUUUGUUUUCAAUUAGAUUUUGCUUUAUUGUGUUCAAAACUUGUAUGUUGAGAAAUGUGGGGAGGUGGCAGAAUGUAACUUCUAACCUGUUUGUUCCCUGCAUUAGAGUAGAAACAGUUUUUAUCUUUUUUUGUUGUUGUUUUCUGGUUAUAUUUUUGGUAGGGGGAGAACGGGUUUCUCUGUUCAGCCCUGGCUGUCUGGAAUUCUGCUGUUUACCAGGCUGGCCACAAACUCAACGAUCUGUAAUCCUCUGCCUCCCGCAUACUGGGACUAAAGACUUAUAUCACCACAUAUGAUAGAUUUUAAUUCUUUUAAGAACUACUGUUUGUUUCCAUGACAAUGUUCCACUGAAAUGCUUUAUAACUAAUUAUAGACUUAAUUAGAGGGACUUCUAUCAUUCAGUCAUAAUUAAUACUUAUCUAAUAAGUAUGUUCAAGGCCCUGUAUUUCAUUCCCACUACCAUUUAACAACUGUGAUUGGAUACAUUUUUUUUAAUGUUUAUUUAUUAUACAAUAUUCUGGCUGUGUGUAUCCUGCAGGCCA